CCGAGUGAGGGCCCUCUGGGUCCAACCUCCCACCCGUGUUUAUUUUACCUUGUUGCUUCGGCGGGCCCGCCUUAACUGGCCGCCGGGGGGCUUACGCCCCCGGGCCCGCGCCCGCCGAAGACACCCUCGAACUCUGUCUGAAGAUUGUAGUCUGAGUGAAAAUAUAAAUUAUUUAAAACUUUCAACAACGGAUCUCUUGGUUCCGGCAUCGAUGAAGAACGCAGCGAAAUGCGAUACGUAAUGUGAAUUGCAAAUUCAGUGAAUCAUCGAGUCUUUGAACGCACAUUGCGCCCCCUGGUAUUCCGGGGGGCAUGCCUGUCCGAGCGUCAUUUCUGCCCUCAAGCACGGCUUGUGUGUUGGGCCCCGUCCUCCGAUCCCGGGGGACGGGCCCGAAAGGCAGCGGCGGCACCGCGUCCGGUCCUCGAGCGUAUGGGGCUUUGUCACCCGCUCUGUAGGCCCGGCCGGCGCUUGCCGAUCAACCCAAAUUUUUAUCCAGGUUGACCUCGGAUCAGGUAGGGAUACCCGCUGAACUUAAGCAUAUCAAUAAG
rnacentral:rRNA from 1 species